AUUCAACUCUUUAUUGCAGGCAACACUAACAUGGGGUCCUUAUUUGUGGUUUCAGAUGCUAAGAGUAGCCACAUCAACACUUUCAGUGUGCGACUUCCUUGGUGAAAAGAUUGCCUCUGUUUUGGGCAUCAGUACACCAAAAUACCAAUAUGCCAU